rnacentral:tRNA from 1 species
AAUAAGAUGCCUGAUAAAAGGACUAUCUUGAUAGGAUAGAUAAUGUAUUGUAUACUCUUAUUA